rnacentral:rRNA from 1 species
UACCAGCACCCCGAGUGGUCGGGACGUUUAUUGGGCCUAAAGCAUCCGUAGCCGGUUCUACAAGUCUUCCGUUAAAUCCACCUGCUUAACAGAUGGGCUGCGGAAGAUACUAUGGAGCUAGGAGGCGGGAGAGGCAAGCGGUACUCGAUGGGUAGGGGUAAAAUCCGUUGAUCCAUUGAAGACCACCAGUAGCGAAGGCGGCUUGCCAGAACGCGCUCGACGGUGAGGGAUGAAAGCUGGGGGAGCAAACCGG